GACAGAGGUGCCAAGCGUUAGGCGGAAUCACUGGGCUUAAAGCGUGUGUAGGCGGAAUUCUAAGUACCUUGUGAAAUCCCACGGCUCAACCGUGGAACUGCUUGGUAUACUGGUUUUCUUGAGCCACUUAGGGGCUGUCGGAACAAACGGUGGAGCGGUGAAAUGCGUAGAUAUCGGGAAGAACACCCGUGGCGAAGGCGGUUCUCUGGGACGGUACUGACGCUGAGACGCGAAAUCGUGGGGAUCUAACAGG
rnacentral:rRNA from 1 species